CCCUUAGAGUUUGAUCAUGGCUCAGGACGAACGCUGGCGGCGCGCCUAACACAUGCAAGUCGAACGAGGUCUAAUUGGAGCUUGCUCCGGGUAGAUCGAGUGGCGGACGGGUGAGUAACACGUGAGCAACCUGCCUUUCAGAGGGGGAUAACGUCCGGAAACGGACGCUAAUACCGCAUAACAUCACCGGAUGGCAUCAUCUGGUGAUCAAAGGAGUAAUCCGCUGAAAGAUGGGCUCGCGCCCGAUUAGAUAGUUGGUGGGGUAAUGGCCUACCAAGUCUGCGAUCGGUAGCCGGACUGAGAGGUUGAUCGGCCACAUUGGGACUGAGACACGGCCCAGACUCCUACGGGAGGCAGCAGUGGGGAAUAUUGCACAAUGGAGGAAACUCUGAUGCAGCGACGCCGCGUGAGUGAAGACGGUCUUCGGAUUGUAAAGCUCUGUCUUCGGGGACGAUAAUGACGGUACCCGAGGAGGAAGCCACGGCUAACUACGUGCCAGCAGCCGCGGUAAUACGUAGGUGGCGAGCGUUGUCCGGAAUUACUGGGUGUAAAGGGAGCGCAGGCGGG
rnacentral:rRNA from 1 species